rnacentral:pre_miRNA from 1 species
CCCUUAACUAUUAAAAGUUUCGUUUUGGUCCUUUAACUUACUUUUUGGUUUCUUUUUGGUCCCUUAACUUAUUUUUUGGUUUCAUUUUGAUCCCUUAACUCUAAUACAUUCAUCCUAACAUAAAGGACCAAAGUGGUUGACAGAGGAUGAGUUAAGGGACCAAAACAAAACCAAAAAGUAAGUUAAAGGACCAAAACGAAACUUUUAAUAGUUAAGGGACCAAAACGAAACCAAAAAGUAAGUUAAGGGACCAAAACAAAACUUUUAAUAGUUAAGGUA